rnacentral:rRNA from 1 species
AUUGAACGCUGGCGGCAGGCCUAACACAUGCAAGUCGAACGUGUGGCGGAAGGGUGAGUCGUGUUGGGGAAUAGGCCAUAUGGAGGGAGAUAUCUACUGGAAACUGUAUCUAAUACCGCAUACCAUCGUAUGCGCCUAGAUGGGAUUAGCUAGUAGGUGGGGUAACGGCUAACCUAGGCGAAGAUCCAUAGCUGGUCUGAGAGGAUGACCAGCCACACUGGAACUGAGACACGGUCCAGACUCCUACGGGAGGCAGCAGUGGGGAAUAUUGAACAAUGGGCGCAAGCCUGAUGCAGCCAUGCCGCGUGUAUGAAGAAGUCCUUCGGGUUGUAAAGUACGUUCAGCGGGGAGGCGUUACCCGCAGAAGAAGCACCGGCUAACUCCGUGCCAGCAGCCGCGGUAAUAC